GAUGAACGCUGGCGGCGUGCCUAAUACAUGCAAGUCGAGCGAACAGACGAGGAGCUUGCUCCUCUGACGUUAGCGGCGGACGGGUGAGUAACACGUGGAUAACCUACCUAUAAGACUGGGAUAACUUCGGGAAACCGGAGCUAAUACCGGAUAAUAUAUUGAACCGCAUGGUUCAAUAGUGAAAGACGGUUUUGCUGUCACUUAUAGAUGGAUCCGCGCCGCAUUAGCUAGUUGGUAAGGUAACGGCUUACCAAGGCAACGAUGCGUAGCCGACCUGAGAGGGGUGACGGCCCCCAGGGGAACUGCACCCGGCCCCAGCCUCCGAGGGGGGGAGCAGGGGGGGAAUCUCCCGAAAGGGGGGAAGCCGUGACGGGACAGCGCCUGGGGAGGGAGAAGGUUCUUGGGAUCUAAAAACUUUUUUAUUGGGAAAAAAAAAAGGUGAAAUAAACUAUGCGCGUCUUGAGGGUCCCUAAUAAAAAGCCCACGGCAAACUCCGUC
rnacentral:rRNA from 1 species